AGGUGGCAUCGCCAAGCGGUAAGGCCGAGGCCUGCAAAGCCUCUAUCCCCGGUUCGAUUCCGGGUGCCACCUUC
rnacentral:tRNA from 1 species